rnacentral:misc_RNA from 1 species
GAUGAAGAACGUAGCAAAAUGCGAUAAGUAAUGUGAAUUGCAGAAUUCAGUGAAUCAUCGAAUCUUUGAACGCACAUUGCGCCCGCUGGUAUUCCGGCGGGCAUGCCUGUUCGAGCGUCAUUUCAACCCUCAAGCCCCCGGGUUUGGUGUUGGGGAUCGGCUCUGCCCUUCUGGGCGGUGCCGCCCCCGAAAUACAUUGGCGGUCUCGCUGCAGCCUCCAUUGCGUAGUAGCUAACACCUCGCAACUGGAACGCGGCGCGGCCAUGCCGUAAACCCCAACUUCUGAAUGUUGACCUCGGAUCAGGUAGGAAUACCCGCUGAACUUAAGCAUAUCAAUAAGCGGAGGA